rnacentral:sRNA from 1 species
UCCUGUUCCAUAUUGGUGCUUGCCCUGA